rnacentral:rRNA from 1 species
UACGAAGGGGGGCUAGCGUUGUUCGGAUUUACUGGGCGUAAAGCGCACGUAGGCGGAUUGGUCAGUUAGGGGUGAAAUCCCAGAGCUCAACUCUGGAACUGCCUUUAAUACUGCCAGUCUAGAGUCCGGAAGAGGUGAGUGGAACUCCUAGUGUAGAGGUGGAAUUCGUAGAUAUUAGGAAGAACACCAGUGGCGAAGGCGGCUCACUCGGUCCGGUACGUGACGCUGAGGUGCGAAAGCGUGGGGAGCAAACAGG